GUGGGGAUUCCCUAUGCAGAUAAGGAGGAGGAGCCUAUGAUUGUUAAGGUCAGUUGGAAUGCAACUGUUACUGGUCGGAAGAUGUUCUUUAUUGUAGAGGAGAGCUGCUGAUUUCCAGGUUUCCCCCACAAGAUUCUCAGUCUUUAAUACAUCACACUCUUGAGAUUCUCUGGUGUUACCUCAUUUCCCCUGCGAUUCUCUGGUGUUACAUUACUUUCUUCCAGAUUUCACAGCAAAAUGCAUCGAGGCUGGUUUGAUCAUAACAUCACGGGGUUUCCCCCCCUUCAAAAUUAAAAAAAAAAAAUGCUACAGGACACCAAGCAAGCUACAAGAAAGGCACAGGAAUGUCACCUUUGAAGAGGAUUCACAUCUGGUUUGGAGGGACUGUAUUCUCACUGCAGUUCACUCAAGCUUUCCUCACUUUUGCUGCACCUUACAGCUGCAAGUCCAUAUAACUCUAAGUUCAGGGAUUUCUACCACCAUAACUGACAAGAGAAGAAACCUGUGAGCUUCCCAUCCUCUUAACUAGCAAGGAAGAAAGGCAUGUAACAAUGGGACAAUCAAUACCAGGGUAUUUAAGAGAGUGCCUCUUUUGUCAUGAACCCUCCCGCCAUUUAUUACCUGGAGGGAGCAAGGUAAGAAGAGGCUUGGACUUUGCCAACUAGGCUCCUCUGUUUUGGACUCGGAGAUUGAUUGCUGCCUCCUGCCCCUCCUGUCGGGCCAGAGGAUUGGAUUGGAUUGGAUUGGAUCGGAUCGGAUCGGAUUGGAUCAGCUCUGCUCUUGCUAGGAUGCCUUUGUUGUCACUGUGCUGUACUCGUUGUCAUCAGUUUAGUCUUCUUUACAUUUAGUCAUAGUCCCAUUUUUUCACUGUGCUCCUUGACUUUCAUUACUAGAGCUUGCAGAUCAUCCCCAUUCUCAGCUAUCAGAGUGGUGUCAUCUGUGUAGUGCAGGUUAUUGAGGUUUCUUCCUCCAACUUUAAAACGAUGCUCAUCUUCUUCCAGUCCAGCUUUUCUCAGUCUAUGUUCAGCAUGUAAGUUGAAUAAAUAAGGAGAAAGUAUACAGCCUUGUCUUACU